AAACCAACAGGGAUNGCCUUAGUAGCGGCGAGNGAAGCGGCAAAAGCUCAAAUUUGAAAUCUGGCUCUUUCAGAGUCCGAGUUGUAAUUUGAAGAAGGUAUCUUUGGGUCUGGCUCUUGUCUAUGUUUCUUGGAACAGAACGUCACAGAGGGUGAGAAUCCCGUGCGAUGAGAUGAUCCAGGCCUAUGUAAAGUUCCUUCGAAGAGUCGAGUUGUUUGGGAAUGCAGCUCUAAGUGGGUGGUAAAUUCCAUCUAAAGCUAAAUAUUGGCGAGAGACCGAUAGCGAACAAGUACAGUGAUGGAAAGAUGAAAAGAACUUUGAAAAGAGAGUGAAAAAGUACGUGAAAUUGUUGAAAGGGAAGGGCUUGAGAUCAGACUUGGUAUUUUGUAUGUUACUUCUUCGGGGGUGGCCUCUACAGUUUAUCGGGCCAGCAUCAGUUUGGGCGGUAGGAGAAUUGCGUUGGAAUGUGGCACGGCUUCGGUUGUGUGUUAUAGCCUUCGUCGAUACUGCCAGCCUAGACUGAGGACUGCGGUUUAUACCUAGGAUGUUGGCAUAAUGAUCUUAAGUCGC
rnacentral:rRNA from 1 species